rnacentral:rRNA from 1 species
GAUACGGCCCAGACUCCUACGGGAGGCAGCAGUGGGGAAUAUUGCACAAUGGGCGCAAGCCUGAUGCAGCGACGCCGCGUGCGGGAUGACGGCCUUCGGGUUGUAAACCGCUUUUGACUGGGAGCAAGCCCUUCGGGGUGAGUGUACCUUUCGAAUAAGCACCGGCUAACUACGUGCCAGCAGCCGCGGUAAUACGUAGGGUGCAAGCGUUAUCCGGAAUUAUUGGGCGUAAAGGGCUCGUAGGCGGUUCGUCGCGUCCGGUGUGAAAGUCCAUCGCUUAACGGUGGAUCCGCGCCGGGUACGGGCGGGCUUGAGUGCGGUAGGGGAGACUGGAAUUCCCGGUGUAACGGUGGAAUGUGUAGAUAUCGGGAAGAACACCAAUGGCGAAGGCAGGUCUCUGGGCCGUCACUGACGCUGAGGAGCGAAAGCGUGGGGAGCGAACAGGAUUAGAUACCCUGGUAGUCCACGCCGUAAACGGUGGAUGCUGGAUGUGGGGACCAUUCCACGGUCUCCGUGUCGGAGCCAACGCGUUAAGCAUCCCGCCUGGGGAGUACGGCCGCAAGGCUAAAACUCAAAGAAAUUGACGGGGGCCCGCACAAGCGGCGGAGCAUGCGGAUUAAUUCGAUGCAACGCGAAGAACCUUACCUGGUCUUGACAUCCUUCUGACCGGUCCUUAACCGGACCUUUCCUUCGGGACAGGAGAGACAGGUGGUGCAUGGUUGUCGUCAGCUCGUGUCGUGAGAUGUUGGGUUAAGUCCCGCAACGAGCGCAACCCUCGCCCUGUGUUGCCAGCACGUCGUGGUGGGAACUCACGGGGGACCGCCGGGGUCAACUCGGAGGAAGGUGGGGAUGACGUCAGAUCAUCAUGCCCCUUACGUCCAGGGCUUCACGCAUGCUACAAUGGCCGGUACAACGGGAUGCGACACCGCGAGGUGGAGCGGAUCCCUUAAAACCGGUCUCAGUUCGGAUUGGAGUCUGCAACCCGACUCCAUGAAGGCGGAGUCGCUAGUAAUCGCGGAUCAGCAACGCCGCGGUGAAUGCGUUCCCGGGCCUUGUACACACCGCCCGUCAAGUCAUGAAAGUGGGUAGCACCCGAAGCCGGUGGCCCAACCUUUUGGGGGGAGCCGUCUAAGGUGAGACUCGUGAUUGGGACUAAGUCGUAACAAGGUAGCCGUACCGGAAGGUGCGGCUG